rnacentral:rRNA from 1 species
CCUACGGGUGACAGCAGUGAGGAAUCUUGGUCAAUGGACGCAAGUCUGAACCAGCCAUGCCGCGUGCAGGAAGACGGCUCUAUGAGUUGUAAACUGCUUUUGUACGAGGGUAAACGCAGAUACGCGUAUCUGUCUGAAAGUAUCGUACGAAUAAGGAUCGGCUAACUCCGUGCCAGCAGCCGCGGUAAUACGGAGGAUUCAAGCGUUGUCCGGAUUUAUUGGGUUGAAUGGGUGCGUAGGCGGUCGGAUAAGUUAGAGGUGAAAGCCCGAGGCUCAACUUGGGAAUUGCCUCUGAUACUGGUCGGCUAGAGAGUAGUUGCGGUAGGCGGAAUGUAUGGUGUAGCGGUGAAAUGCUUAGAGAUCAUACAGAACACCGAUGGCGAAGGCAGCUUACCAAGCUACUUCUGACGUUGAGGCACGAAAGCGUGGGGAGCAAACAGGAUUAGAUACCCUAGUAGUC